rnacentral:rRNA from 1 species
AUUGAACGCUGGCGGCAGGCCUAACACAUGCAAGUCGAGCGGAUGAAGGGAGCUUGCUCCUGGAUUCAGCGGCGGACGGGUGAGUAAUGCCUAGGAAUCUGCCUGGUAGUGGGGGAUGACGUCCGGAAACGGGCGCUAAUACCGCAUACGUCCUGAGGGAGAAAGUGGGGGAUCUUCGGACCUCACGCUAUCAGAUGAGCCUAGGUCGGAUUAGCUAGUUGGUGGGGUAAAGGCCUACCAAGGCGACGAUCCGUAACUGGUCUGAGAGGAUGAUCAGUCACACUGGAACUGAGACACGGUCCAGACUCCUACGGGAGGCAGCAGUGGGGAAUAUUGGACAAUGGGCGAAAGCCUGAUCCAGCCAUGCCGCGUGUGUGAAGAAGGUCUUCGGAUUGUAAAGCACUUUAAGUUGGGAGGAAGGGCAGUAAGUUAAUACCUCGCUGUUUUGACGUUACCAACAGAAUAAGCACCGGCUAACUUCGUG